rnacentral:rRNA from 1 species
UACAGAGGGUGCGAGCGUUGUUCGGAAUUAUUGGGCGUAAAGGGCGCGUAGGCGGUGCGGUAAGUCACCUGUGAAAUCUUCUGGCUCAACUGGGAGCUUGCAGGCGAAACUGCCGUGCUGGAGUGUGGGAGAGGUGCGUGGAAUUCCUGGUGUAGCGGUGAAAUGCGUAGAUAUCAGGAGGAACACCUGUGGCGAAAGCGGCGCACUGGACCACAACUGACGCUGAGGCGCGAAAGCUAGGGGAGCAAACAGG